rnacentral:rRNA from 1 species
AUGCCUUACACAUGCAAGUCGAACGGCAGCACGGGAGCAAUCCUGGUGGCGAGUGGCGAACGGGUGAGUAAUAUAUCGGAACGUGCCCAGUAGUGGGGGAUAGCCCGGCGAAAGCCGGAUUAAUACCGCAUACGACCUGUGGGUGAAAGCGGGGGAUCGCAAGACCUCGCGCUAUUGGAGCGGCCGAUAUCAGAUUAGCUAGUUGGUGGGGUAAAGGCCCACCAAGGCGACGAUCUGUAGCUGGUCUGAGAGGACGACCAGCCACACUGGGACUGAGACACGGCCCAGACUCCUACGGGAGGCAGCAGUGGGGAAUUUUGGACAAUGGGCGCAAGCCUGAUCCAGCCAUGCCGCGUGUGGGAAGAAGGCCUUCGGGUUGUAAACCACUUUUGUCAGGGAAGAAACGGCUCUUACUAAUAUUAGGGGCUAAUGACGGUACCUGAAGAAUAAGCACCGGCUAACUACGUGCCAGCAGCCGCGGUAAUACGUAGGGUGCAAGCGUUAAUCGGAAUUACUGGGCGUAAAGCGUGCGCAGGCGGCUUUGCAAGACAGAUGUGAAAUCCCCGGGCUCAACCUGGGAACUGCAUUUGUGACUGCAUGGCUAGAGUACGGUAGAGGGGGAUGGAAUUCCGCGUGUAGCAGUGAAAUGCGUAGAUAUGCGGAGGAACACCGAUGGCGAAGGCAAU